UUUACUACACACAUCUUGAUGACGUUUUACACAUUCGACUUACACACAGCUCCACGGCGACCUCAAGCGUUGCAAUUGUCUUGUAAUAACAGACUGACCACCACUGAUUGAAUAUCAUCAUGUCUGACUCCGUCGUUAACGAAAAUUAUCAUACAGGACUUUGUAAUAUUUACAUCAGGCAUUAUCAAAAAUGCCUAGCAGAGGCUUCAAUCAUGUCGCGAGUCCUUUCUGGGCCAUGUGAUUAUGCUAAAAUAAAGAUGAAGAUGUGCUUUAUUGAUGAGAAGUUAGAAAGGGCAAAGGAUCGAAAAGCGUUUAAAAGAAAAUUGAAGAGAGAAAGGGAAGAGAGAGAGCAAGAGGAAAAAGCUAAGAAUUCAGCAGCACCAUCCUCUUGAAGUAUUAUAAGCAUAAUUGACACCUGGUGGGACUACAGAUCAGCUGUUUAGUGUGGAUACCUGGCGUUUCCAUCAUCAGCUAGUGGGGACACCUGGUGGGACUAU